GUAUCCAUUGUGUGGGCAUUGUAGUAAAAGUGAUUUGAAGCGAUUCCAUACUUCAUGAAAGGAUUCAGCAUCCUUUUGAUAAAAGUUGAAAAUUUCAGCCUUUAAUUC
rnacentral:snoRNA from 1 species